AGAAUAACAGUGAAUAAUUUUUUAGUAUAAGGAUGUUCCAUAAAAUAUUUGGGACAUGCUUAUGCUAAAAAACAUUAUUUUUUAUUUGUCUGUAUUC
rnacentral:miRNA from 1 species